UACGAAGGGGGGCUAGCGUUGCUCGGAAUGACUGGGCGUAAAGGGCGCGUAGGCGGUUUGGUUCGUUAGGCGUGAAAUUCCUGGGCUUAACCUGGGGGCUGCAUUUGAUACGUGUGGGCUUGAGUGCGGAAGAGGGUCGUGGAAUUCCCAGUGUAGAGGUGAAAUUCGUAGAUAUUGGGAAGAACACCGGUGGCGAAGGCGGCGACCUGGUCCGUGACUGACGCUGAGGCGCGAAAGCGUGGGGAGCAAACAGG
rnacentral:rRNA from 1 species